CCUACGGGUGGCAGCAGUGAGGAAUAUUGGUCAAUGGGCGCGAGCCUGAACCAGCCAAGUAGCGUGAAGGAUGACUGCCCUACGGGUUGUAAACUUCUUUUAUAAAGGAAUAAAGUGAGGCACGUGUGCCUUUUUGUAUGUACUUUAUGAAUAAGGAUCGGCUAACUCCGUGCCAGCAGCCGCGGUAAAACGUAGGGGGCGAGCGUUGUCCGGAAUGACUGGGCGUAAAGGGUGCGUAGGCGGCAUAAUAAGUUAGAAGUGAAAUACCCAGAGCUUAACUCGGGUGCUGCUUCUAAGACUGUUGAGCUUGAGUGCGGGAGAGGUUAAUGGAAUUCCUAGUGUAGCGGUGGAAUGCGUAGAUAUUAGGAGGAACACCAGAGGCGAAGGCGAUUAACUGGACCGUAACUGACGCUGAGGCACGAAAGUGUGGGUAGCAAACAGGAUUAGAUACCCGGGUAGUC
rnacentral:rRNA from 1 species